GCCAGGCGUGGUGGCGCACGCCUGUAAUCCCAGCUACUCAGGAGGCUGAGGCAGGAGAAUCACUUGAACCCAGGAGGCGGAGGCUGCCAGUGAGCCUAGAUCGUGCCACUGCACUCCAGCCUGGGCAACAGAGUGAGACCGUGUCUCAA
rnacentral:SRP_RNA from 1 species